AACACUCAGCACCAGCCUGUGUGCCUGCAGCCAGCUGUGGGUGUUAUUGCCCUCUGUACUGGGCUGGUGGUGUGGCUGUUUGGGACUGCUCUGCAGGAUGCUGAGGGCAGCUGGAGCAUGGACCUGACUCAGACUUAGAUGUACCUGUGUGACUAGCACUUCUACUAGUGAACAACAGCCUUCUAGCACGGUGGUCAACUUUUACCCAGGCUUUCCAAGCACAAGGUGAUUUAGACUCAGAGCACUUAGAAGGAUGAAGCCCAGGGGCUGGAGCAGCAGGCGGGUGCGUGCAGCGUGCCCUGGGGAUUGGGGCCAGUCCAGCUCCCAGGCUGAGCUCACAGACCCCCAGCCCUUUGACUGACAGAGUCUGGGACAGGUACUGCUGAGAGCCUUGGCUCCUGUGCUCUGCAUCUGCGUGUGUACGUGUGGGUGCGUGGGCCAGAUCUGCACCGGGCUUCUGCGUGUUGUGACAAUUCCUUCCCCCAUUUGUGGCAACCUCGUCUGCAAAGUCAUCUCAGCAGCCUCCUUCCAAUGAAAACCAUGAAGGAGUUUUCCACCACUGAAGAAAUACCUUUGUUUGCUUUUCAAUUAAAUGCUGAAGGUUUUGUCUGUUUUUGCUUGUUUGUUUGUUUGUUUCCCCAACCUUCUUGUCCGAGUUUAUUGGGUACAGCUGGGUCUUAUUUCUCAAGCUUUUCUGUGCAGCAGCAACAACAGCUUUCUUCCAUG